CAUAGCUCCUGAAAUGCAACAACUUGGUUAAUCACCUUAACCCGUUAAUCUCGUCGCAACUACUAGACAACGUGACUCGAAUCAGGCGAAAGUCAUACAAGGGUGCCUAUUCUCAUCACUAGGUUUCAUGUUGUCGCGCGCCAACAUGAACACACUUGGGUGAGAAUACACCACACCUUGAGUCUACCUCUAAUAUCCGUCUUAGAGGUUUACAAAACUUGACCCAAUCAAUUCAACUUCCGCCACAACGCAUAGGUUCACGUCACUCACGCACCUAUAACCUUAGGGUUCACCGUCCUAGGGUCUCCUAGGUCCAUCCUAAACUUCUCUCUUUACUUGCUCUUAAUUGCUCUGAUACCACUUUAUCUGUCACGCCCCGCGACCGCUACCAAUUUGGCUCGGCCCGGGCGCGUCGAACAGACGCCGGACGGACAGCACCUCCCCUGUCCGCCCAAGGCUAACAACGAGAUUGUGUACAACAAGUUCCCAGGAAAAUAACUUGAAUACAUACACAAUCGAUAACUACAACGAGAGCACAAUCAGUGCAAAACGACCAAGAGCAAGAUACAAGUAUAGAACA
rnacentral:lncRNA from 1 species